GACGAAGGGGGCUAGCGUUGUUCGGAAUUACUGGGCGUAAAGCGAGUGUAGGUGGUUUUCCAAGUUGGAUGUGAAAGCCUUGAGCUCAACUCAAGAAAUGCAUUCAGGACUGGGAGACUAGAGGACCGGAGAGGAUAGUGGAAUUCCCAGUGUAGUGGUGAAAUACGUAGAGAUUGGGAAGAACACCAGUGGCGAAGGCGGCUAACUGGUCCAGAUCUGACGCUGAGGUGCGAAAGCGUGGGGAGCAAACAGG
rnacentral:rRNA from 1 species